rnacentral:sRNA from 1 species
GGGUGUGAAAAUGACCUAGCUGCAACAUCUGCUACCCCGUUGAUGGCCAGCGUUGAUUUGACUGAUCUGGCCAGCUAUGUGGGUGUCCUCUCCCUCCCUCAAUGCUCCAUGUAUUGUUCGUCCUGAAGCUGUGCACUUGGGGGAACAGUAUGACCACCCCUGAGAGAGGAGAAGAGUUCCUUGGUCAAGGGUGUAUGAGUAGCUGCGCUCCCGUGCUAGAAUUUCCAAACAAGUUCUCAAGAAAGGUCCAUGUCUUUAAUACUCAUGUAGCUCUUUCUACCACAGUUGUUAUCAGUUGCUUUGGAUUUAUGAAC